UACAGAGGUCUCAAGCGUUGUUCGGAUUCAUUUGGGCGUAAAGGGUGUGUAGGUGGCGCCGUAAGUCGGGUGUGAAAUUUCGGAGCUUAACUCCGAAACUGCAUUCGAUACUGCGGUGCUUGAGGACUGGAGAGGAGACUGGAAUUCGAUGGUGUAGCAGUGAAAUGCGUAGAGAUCAAUGAGGAAGACCAGUGGCGAAGGCGGGUC
rnacentral:rRNA from 1 species